rnacentral:rRNA from 1 species
AGUGAACGCUGGCGGUAGGCCUAACACAUGCAAGUCGAACGGCAGCACAGUAAGAGCUUGCUCUUACGGGUGGCGAGUGGCGGACGGGUGAGGAAUACAUCGGAAUCUACUUUUUCGUGGGGGAUAAUGUAGGGAAACUUACGCUAAUACCGCAUACGACCUACGGGUGAAAGCAGGGGAUCUUCGCACCUUGCGCGAUUGAAUGAGCCGAUGUCGGAUUAGCUAGUUGGCGGGGUAAAGGCCCACCAAGGCGACGAUCCGUAGCUGGUCUGAGAGGGUGAUAUGCCAGACUGGAACUGAGACACGGUCCAGAGUCCUAGGGGAGGCGGCAGUGGGGAAUGUUGGACAAUGGGCGCAAGCCUGACCCAGCAAUACCGCGUGAGUGAAGAAGGCCUUCGGAUCGUAAAGCCCUUUUGUUGGGAAAGAAAAGCAGCGGAUUAAAACACCGCUGUUCUGACGGUACCUAAAGAAAAAGCACCGGCUAACUACGUG